UGACUGUUGGUGCUGUUGACCAGGGGCUGUUGGCUACAUCAGGCCAAGAAGAAAUGAACUUCAACUGCCUGAUCUGUGGAACCAGAUGCAAGCUUCACAAGAGCCAGCUUAGUUCCAGGCUGGGAGAGUGGCAACAGGAGUGGUCCUCCAAGGAAGCUGAUCAGGGACUCCUUUGGAUACUGGAUCUGGAUCUGAACUGCUUGGACGAGGAGCAGUGCCUGUGUCCAAAGUGCUCACAACUCUUGCGUGAUCUUCGAAGCCAUGAAGCUAAGGUCACCGAAAUCCGAACUGAGCUCAUUCAGAGACAUGAGGGUUGCAUGCAUACAGACACUCCAGGAUCUGUAGACAUCACUGUCACAGAAGCGUCUGUGAGGCAUAAGCCGAACUCGGCGAGGCCAGAGCCGGAGCUGGAGCUAGAGCCAGAACCAGAUCCAGAGCCGGAGCCAGAGCCAGAUCCGGAGCCAGAGCCAGAGCCAGCGCCCUGCCUGCGGCGAAGCUCUCGUCGUUGUGGACGACCGCCGGCGCCGGCCGGUGGUGCCGUCUUGCCGGCAG